AAGUCGUAACAAGGUUUCCGUAGGUGAACCUGCGGAAGGAUCAUUACAGGUGUGGGGAGAGUGGGGGGAGAGUGGGGAUGCGUGGAAAUGGGCGGGGAGGGGCAUGGCAUGCACAGAAUGCACAAUGCAUCUAUGCAAUCAGAUGCACCCUCUCUGCCGGUGACACACUCGACACAGUCUAUACAUACAGGCACAACUUAUAACAAUGGAUCUCUGGGCUCCU
rnacentral:misc_RNA from 1 species